rnacentral:rRNA from 1 species
AUUGAACGCUGGCGGCAGGCCUAACACAUGCAAGUCGAACGAGUGGCGGACGGGUGAGUAAUGUCUGGGAAACUGCCUGAUGACGGGGGAUAACUACUGGAAACGGUAGCUAAUACCGCAUACCAUCAGAUGUGCCCAUAUGGGAUUAGCGAGUGGGUGGGGUAACGGCUCACCAAGGCGACGAGUCCUAGCUGUGCUGAGAGGAUGACCAGCCAUCGUGGAACUGAGACACGGUCCAGACUCCUACGGGAGGCAGCAGUGGGUAAUAUUGCACAAUGGGCUCAAGCCUGAUGCCGCCCUGCCGCGUGUAUGAAGAAGGCCUUCGGGUUGUAAAGUACUUUCAGCGGGGAGGCGUUACCCUCAGAAGAAGCACCGGCUAACUCCGUGCCAGCAGCCGCGGUAAUUC